rnacentral:rRNA from 1 species
GGCCAGACUCCUACGGGAGGCAGCAGUGGGGAAUAUUGCACAAUGGGGGAAACCCUGAUGCAGCAACGCCGCGUGAGUGAAGAAGUAUUUCGGUAUGUAAAGCUCUCUCAGCAGGGAAGAAGAUGACGGUACCUGAAUAAGAAGCCCCGGCUAACUACGUGCCAGCAGCCGCGGUAAUACGUAGGGGGCAAGCGUUAUCCGGAUUUACUGGGCGUAAAGGGAGCGCAGACGGCAGUGCAAGUCUGGAGUGAAAGCCCGGGGCCCAACCCCGGGACUGCCCUUGGAACUGUGCGGCUAGAGUGCGGGAGGGGCAGGCGGAAUUCCUGGUGUAGCGGUGAAAUGCGUAGAUAUCAGGAGGAACACCGGCGGCGAAGGCGGCCUGCUGGACCGCGACUGACGUUGAGGCUCGAAAGCGUGGGGAGCGAACAGGAUUAGAUACCCCCGUA